GACGAACGCUGGCGGCGUGCUUAACACAUGCAAGUCGAACGGUAAGGCUCCAGCUUGCUGGGGUACACGAGUGGCGAACGGGUGAGUAACACGUGGGUGACCUGCCCUGCACUUCGGGAUAAGCCUGGGAAACUGGGUCUAAUACCGGAUAGGGCCAUGAUGUGGAUACUGUGGUGGAAAGUUUUUUCGGUGUGGGAUGGGCCCGCGGCCUAUCAGCUUGUUGGUGGGGUAAUGGCCUGCCAAGGCGGCGACGGGUAGCCGGCCUGAGAGGGUGGACGGCCACAUUGGGACUGAGACACGGCCCAGACUCCUACGGGAGGCAGCAGUGGGGAAUAUUGCACAAUGGGCGGAAGCCUGAUGCAGCGACGCCGCGUGGGGGAUGACGGCCUUCGGGUUGUAAACUCCUUUCACCAUCGACGAAGGGUUUCUGACGGUAGAUGGAGAAGAAGCACCGGCUAACUACGUG
rnacentral:rRNA from 1 species